ACUUUAUUCAAAUCUUAAAGGUACCAUGACAUGCUGCUCGUUGGAUGCUUUUAUAUAGACCUUAUUGCUCCCCUAACAUUGGAUCUUGAAGUCUCUUUUAUAUAGACCUUAGUGGUCCCCGGAAACGGUAUCUGAGUCUCUUUAUAUAG